GCCAUCAGGGACCGUGCAGCUGCCAGCCAAGCCAGGGGGACAGGGUGAUAUCAGACCUGCUUUGGGCCAGGGCCCAGGGCAGCCUGGCUGGGUGUCAUCUGGCCUGUCCCUGCUGGGGCGGGAGGUCGGGUUACCCCCAGAGCACACGAGGGCAGCUCCUCUCCCUCCGUGGGGCUGGGUCAGGUGAGCUCCACUGCACCUCCUCUGGCAUCUACUGGUUCCACUGGAAGGACGCUGGAAAAGAGAGAUGCUGUUCCAGCAGCUGCCUCCUGGUUUGGUGUGGGAGCCCAGCUGGUGUGAAGCAGGGCUGUGUGCUGAGUUUGGACACUCCUGCCUGUAGUCUGAGGGCUGACUGGGGUGGGACAACAAGGACAACUCCCUGGUGUCCACACCCAACUCCCUGGGACCCCACACUGCUCGAGCACGGAGGCUGAGGGGCCCUACUUGUUCUCCAGGUUGGUUUUAAACCAGCUGAACUCCAGUUUCCUUUAAACCACCCAGAGCCCUUCAGCUGCAUCAAAGUUUGUAAUGACUCGCUGUGAAGAGGAAACACAAUCCGGAGAAAAAGCUCCACUCUGACUGACCUGUGAAAUGCUGAAGAAUUUUGUUCAUCUCAAGUUUGUCCAGCACCAUUACUGGUAUGGACUAAAAUAAUAACGAAUAGGAGGCAGGUGCUCCGGGUUCCCAUAAAAAACCAGAUCCUCUGGAUGUCUGGCGGGCUAACAGCCCUGUGACA